UACGUAGGGUGCGAGCGUUAAUCGGAAUUAUUGGGCGUAAAGAGCUUGUAGGCGGUUUGUCGCGUCUGCUGUGAAAUUUCGGGGCUCAACCCCGAACUUGCAGUGGGUACGGGCAGACUAGAGGCAGGUAGGGGAGAAUGGAAUUCCCGGUGUAGCGGUGAAAUGCGCAGAUAUCGGGAGGAACACCGGUGGCGAAGGCGGUUCUCUGGGCCUGACCUGACGCUGAGGAGCGAAAGCGUGGGGAGCGAACAGG
rnacentral:rRNA from 1 species